rnacentral:rRNA from 1 species
UACAGAGGUGGCAAGCGUUGUUCGGAAUUACUGGGCGUAAAGGGCGCGUAGGCGGUUCGUCAAGUACUGUGUGAAAUCCCCCGGCUCAACUGGGGAACUGCACAGGAAACUAGCGGGCUUGAGUUCGGGAGAGGGAAGCGGAAUUCCGGGUGUAGCGGUGAAAUGCGUAGAUAUCCGGAGGAACACCGGUGGCGAAGGCGGCUUCCUGGACCGACACUGACGCUGAGGCGCGAAAGCUAGGGGAGCAAACGGG